rnacentral:rRNA from 1 species
AAAGAUUAAGCCAUGCAUGUCUAAGUAUAAGCAAUCUAUACCGUGAAACUGCGAAUGGCUCAUUAAAUCAGUUAUCGUUUAUUUGAUAGUACCUUACUACUUGGAUAACCGUGGUAAUUCUAGAGCUAAUACAUGCUAAAAACCUCGACUUCGGAAGGGGUGUACUUAUUAGAUAAAAAACCAAUGCCCUUCGGGGCUCCUUGGUGAUUCAUAAUAACUUAACGAAUCGCAUGGCCUUGUGCCGGCGAUGGUUCAUUCAAAUUUCUGCCCUAUCAACUUUCGAUGGUAUGGUCUUGGCUUACCAUGGUUU